rfam:Oryza barthii chromosome 4, whole genome shotgun sequence.
AAUAAGUGUAGUUUUAUACUAUUCAUCUCCAACGUUUAACCGUUCGUCUUAUUUGAAAUUUUUUUAUAAUUACUAUUUUUAUUGUUAUUAGAUGAUAAAACAUGAAUAGUACUUUAAGUGUGGCUAAUUUUUUUAAAAAAAAAAUCAUAAAUUUUUCAAAUAAGACGGACGGUCAAACGUUGGAUACGGAUUUCCACGGCUGCACUUAUU